AAUCCACGCUGGCGGCGUGCCUAACACAUGCAAGUCGAACGCGAAAGGGGAGCAAUCCCUGAGUAGAGUGGCAAACGGGUGAGUAACACGUGGGUGACCUGCCUCAGAGUGGGGGAUAACGUCCCGAAAGGGACGCUAAUACCGCAUAACAUCCUGCCUUUGGAAAGGCGGAGAUCAAAGCCGGGGAUCGCAAGACCUGGCGCUUGGAGAGGGGCCCGCGUCUGAUUAGCUAGUUGGUAGGGUAAUGGCCUACCAAGGCAACGAUCAGUAUCCGGCCUGAGAGGGCGGACGGACACACUGGGACUGAGGCACGGCCCAGACUCCUACGGGAGGCAGCAGUGGGGAAUUGUUCGCAAUGGGCGCAAGCCUGACGACGCAACGCCGCGUGGAGGAUGAAGAUCUUCGGGUCGUAAACUCCUGUCGAGCGGGACGAACACCUAUCCAGCUAACAUCUGGACUGGCUGACGGUACCGCUAGAGGAAGCCCCGGCUAACUCCGUGC
rnacentral:rRNA from 1 species